rnacentral:rRNA from 1 species
AACGAACGCUGGCGGCAUGCCUAACACAUGCGAGUCGAACGAGACCUUCGGGUCUAGUGGCGCACGGGUGCGUAACGCGUGGGAACCUGCCCUUAGGUUCGGAAUAACUCCCCGAAAGGGGUGCUAAUACCGGAUAAUGUCUUCGGACCAAAGAUUUAUCGCCUUUGGAUGGGCCCGCGUUGGAUUAGCUAGUUGGUAGGGUAAAAGCCUACCAAGGCGACGAUCCAUAGCUGGUCUGAGAGGAUGAUCAGCCACACUGGGACUGAGACACGGCCCAGACCCCUCCGGGAGGCAGCAGGGGGGAAAAUUGGACAAUGGGCGAAAGCCUGAUCCCGCAAUGCCGGGUGAGUGAUGAAGGCCUUAGGGUUGUAAAGCUCUUUUACCCGGGAUGAUAAUGACUGUCCCGGGGGAAUAAGCCCCGGCUACCUCCUU